AGUGAACGCUGGCGGUAGGCCUAACACAUGCAAGUCGAACGGCAGCACAGUAAGAGCUUGCUCUUACGGGUGGCGAGUGGCGGACGGGUGAGGAAUACAUCGGAAUCUACUUUUUCGUGGGGGAUAACGUAGGGAAACUUACGCUAAUACCGCAUACGACCUACGUGUGAAAGCAGGGGAUCUUCGGACCUUGCGCGAUUGAAUGAGCCGAUGUCGGAUUAGCUAGUUGGCGGGGUAAAGGCCCACCAAGGCGACGAUCCGUAGCUGGUCUGAGAGGAUGAUCAGCCACACUGGAACUGAGACACGGUCCAGACUCUGACGGGAGGCAGAAGUGGGGAAUAUUGGACAAUGGGCGCAAGCCUGAUCCAGCCAUACCGCGUGGGUGAAGAAGGCCUUCGGGUUGUAAAGCCCUUUUGUUGGGAAAGAAAAGCAGCAGGUUAAUACCCCGCUGUUCUGACGGUACCCAAAGAAUAAGCACCGGCUAACUUCGUG
rnacentral:rRNA from 1 species